AAUGCUGACGGCGUACCUUUUGUAUAAUGGGUCAGCGACUUAGUCUGUCGAGCGAGCUUAAGCCGUUAGGUGUAGGCGCAGCGAAAGCGAGUCUGAACAGGGCGUUCAGUUCGACGGAUUAGACCCGAAACGAGGUGAUCUAGUCAUGAGCAGGUUGAAGGUGCGGUAACACGCACUGGAGGACCGAACCCACGCCUGUUGAAAAAGUCGGGGAUGACUUGUGACUAGGGGUGAAAGGCCAAUCAAACCUCGAAAUAGCUGGUUCUCCGCGAAAUCUAUUUAGGUAGAGCGUCGGACGAAUACCUCGGGGGGUAGAGCACUGCAUAGGCAAGGGGGUCCUACAGACUUACCGAUCUUAAGCAAACUCCGAAUACCCGAGAGUACUAUCCGGCAGACACACGGCGGGUGCUAACGUCCGUCGUGAAAAGGGAAACAACCCUGACCAUCAGUUAAGGUCCCGAAGUCACGGCUAAGUGUGAAACGAUGUGGGAAUCCCAAAACAACCAGGAUGUUGGCUUAGAAGCAGCCAUCAUUUAAAGAAAGCGUAACAGCUCACUGGUCUAGUCAAGGGUUCCUGCGCGGACAAUGUAACGGGGCUCAAGCCGUGCACCGAAACUAUGGGUUUGCACUUGUGCAAGCGGUAGCGGAGCGUUCCGUAGGCCUGCGAAGGAGGAUGGGCGACCACCUCUGGAGGUAUCGGAAGUGAGAAUGCUGACAUGAGUAACGCUAAGGGUGUGAGAAGCACCCUCGCCGAAAGUCCAAGGGUUCCUGCGUAAAGCUAGUCUUCGCAGGGUUAGCCGGUCCCUAAGGCGAGGCCGAAAGGCGUAGUCGAUGGGAAUGAGGUAAAUAUUCCUCAGCCAGCAGGUGGUGACGGAUGUGAAGGACUGUAAGGCCUUAUCGGAUUGGCCUUGCUGUCUCAGCGUUCCAGGAAAUAGCCCCUGCAUCAGACCGUACCCCAAACCGACACAGGUGGACUGGUAGAGUAUACCAAGGCGUUGAGCGAAUUGUGCUGAAGGAACUCGGCAAAUUGCCUCCGUAACUUCGGGAGAAGGAGGCCCCGGUAAUGGGCAACCGUUAUCGGGGGGCACAGACUAGGGGGUGGCGACUGUUUAACAAAAACACAGGGCUCUGCGAAGCCAUAAGGCGACGUAUAGGGUCUGACGCCUGCCCGGUGCCGGAAGGUUAAGAGGAGGGGUGCAAGCUCCGAAUUGAAGCCCCGGUAAACGGCGGCCGUAACUAUAACGGUCCUAAGGUAGCGAAAUUCCUUGUCGGGUAAGUUCCGACCUGCACGAAUGGCGUAACGACUUCCCCGCUGUCUCCAGCACAGGCUCAGUGAAAUUGAAUUCCCCGUGAAGAUGCGGGGUUCCUGCGGUCAGACGGAAAGACCCCGUGCACCUUUACUAUAGCUUCACACUGGCAUUCGUGUCGGCAUGUGUAGGAUAGGUGGUAGGCUAUGAAGUUUGGGCGCCAGCUCAGAUGGAGCCAUCCUUGAAAUACCACCCUUAUCGUCAUGACUGUCUAACCGCGGCCCGUCAUCCGGGUCCGGGACAGUGUGUGGUGGGUAGUUUGACUGGGGCGGUCGCCUCCCAAAGAGUAACGGAGGCGCGCGAAGGUAGGCUCAGACCGGUCGGAAAUCGGUCGACGAGUGCAAUGGCAUAAGCCUGCCUGACUGCGAGACUGACACGUCGAGCAGAGUCGAAAGACGGCCAUAGUGAUCCGGUGGUCCCUCGUGGACGGGCCAUCGCUCAACGGAUAAAAGGUACGCCGGGGAUAACAGGCUGAUGAUGCCCAAGAGUCCAUAUCGACGGCAUCGUUUGGCACCUCGAUGUCGACUCAUCACAUCCUGGGGCUGGAGAAGGUCCCAAGGGUUCGGCUGUUCGCCGAUUAAAGUGGUACGUGAGUUGGGUUCAGAACGUCGUGAGACAGUUCGGUCCCUAUCUGCCGUGGGUGUAGGAGUAUUGAGAGGAUCUGUCCCUAGUACGAGAGGACCGGGAUGGACAUACCUCUGGUGGACCUGUUGUGGCGCCAGCCGCAUUGCAGGGUAGCUAAGUAUGGACUCGAUAACCGCUGAAGGCAUCUAAGCGGGAAACGAACCUCAAAACCAGUGCUCCCUAUCAGAGCCGUGGUAGACCACCACGUUGAUAGGCCGGGUGUGGAAGCGCAGCAAUGCGUGAAGCUUACCGGUACUAAUAGCUCGAUCGGCUUUAUCGC
rnacentral:rRNA from 1 species